CGGCCGCGGGAUUCGAUUAGAGUUUGAUCCUGGCUCAGAUUGAACGCUGGCGGAAUGCUUUACACAUGCAAGUCGAGCGGCAGCGCGGGGGCAACCCUGGCGGCGAGCGGCGAACGGGUGAGUAAUACAUCGGAACGUACCCUAUCGUGGGGGAUAACGAAUCGAAAGAUUCGCUAAUACCGCAUACGACCUGAGGGUGAAAGCGGGGGAUCGCAAGACCUCGCGCGAUUGGAGCGGCCGAUGUCGGAUUAGCUAGUUGGUGGGGUAAAGGCCUACCAAGGCGACGAUCCGUAGCUGGUCUGAGAGGACGACCAGCCACACUGGGACUGAGACACGGCCCAGACUCCUACGGGAGGCAGCAGUGGGGAAUUUUGGACAAUGGGGGCAACCCUGAUCCAGCCAUUCCGCGUGAGUGAAGAAGGCCUUCGGGUUGUAAAGCUCUUUCGGCAGGAACGAAACGGCGGGCUCUAACAUAGCCUGUCAAUGACGGUACCUGAAGAAGAAGCACCGGCUAACUACGUGCCAGCAGCCCCGGUCAA
rnacentral:rRNA from 1 species